rnacentral:rRNA from 1 species
AGAGUUUGAUCCUGGCUCAGGAUGAACGCUGGCGGUAUGCUUAACACAUGCAAGUCGAACGGAACCUUCGGGUUUAGUGGCGGACGGGUGAGUAACGCGUGAGAACCUACCUUCAGGACAGGGACAACAACUGGAAACGGUUGCUAAUACCUGAUGUGCCAAUGGUGAAAGAUUUAUCGCCUGAAGAUGGGCUCGCGACCGAUUAGCUAGUUGGAGUGGUAAUGGCACACCAAGGCGACGAUCGGUAGCUGGUCUGAGAGGAUGAUCAGCCACACUGGAACUGAGACACGGUCCAGACUCCUACGGGAGGCAGCAGUGGGGAAUUUUCCGCAAUGGGCGCAAGCCUGACGGAGCAAGACCGCGUGAGGGAGGAAGGCUCUUGGGUUGUAAACCUCUUUUAUCAGGGAAGAAGAUCUGACGGUACCUGAUGAAUCAGCAUCGGCUAACUCCGUGCCAGCAGCCGCGGUAAUACGGAGGAUGCAAGCGUUAUCCGGAUUUAUUGGGCGUAAAGCGUCCGCAGGUGGUUUGACAAGUCUGCUGUUAAAGCGCAGAGCUUAACUCUGUAACGGCGGUGGAAACUGUCAGACUAGAGUAUGGUAGGGGUAGCGGGAAUUCCCAGUGUAGCGGUGAAAUGCGUAGAUAUUGGGAAGAACACCAGCGGCGAAAGCGCGCUACUGGGCCAUAACUGACACUCAUGGACGAAAGCUAGGGGAGCGAAAGGGAUUAGAUACCCCUGUAGUC